ACCGAGUCUUAACUGGGCGUUAAGUUGCAGGGUAUAGACCCGAAACCCGGUGAUCUAGCCAUGGGCAGGUUGAAGGUUGGGUAACACUAACUGGAGGACCGAACCGACUAAUGUUGAAAAAUUAGCGGAUGACUUGUGGCUGGGGGUGAAAGGCCAAUCAAACCGGGAGAUAGCUGGUUCUCCCCGAAAGCUAUUUAGGUAGCGCCUCGUGAAUUCAUCUCCGGGGGUAGAGCACUGUUUCGGCAAGGGGGUCAUCCCGACUUACCAACCCGAUGCAAACUGCGAAUACCGGAGAAUGUUAUCACGGGAGACACACGGCGGGUGCUAACGUCCGUCGUGAAGAGGGAAACAACCCAGACCGCCAGCUAAGGUCCCAAAGUCAUGGUUAAGUGGGAAACGAUGUGGGAAGGCCCAGACAGCCAGGAUGUUGGCUUAGAAGCAGCCAUCAUUUAAAGAAAGCGUAAUAGCUCACUGGUCGAGUCGGCCUGCGCGGAAGAUGUAACGGGGCUAAACCAUGCACCGAAGCUGCGGCAGCGACACUGUGUGUUGUUGGGUAGGGGAGCGUUCUGUAAGCCUGUGAAGGUGUGCUGUGAGGCAUGCUGGAGGUAUCAGAAGUGCGAAUGCUGACAUAAGUAACGAUAAAGCGGGUGAAAAGCCCGCUCGCCGGAAGACCAAGGGUUCCUGUCCAACGUUAAUCGGGGCAGGGUGAGUCGACCCCUAAGGCGAGGCCGAAAGGCGUAGUCGAUGGGAAACAGGUUAAUAUUCCUGUACUUGGUGUUACUGCGAAGGGGGGACGGAGAAGGCUAUGUUGGCCGGGCGACGGUUGUCCCGGUUUAAGCGUGUAGGCUGGUUUUCCAGGCAAAUCCGGAAAAUCAAGGCUGAGGCGUGAUGACGAGGCACUACGGUGCUGAAGCAACAAAUGCCCUGCUUCCAGGAAAAGCCUCUAAGCAUCAGGUAACAUCAAAUCGUACCCCAAACCGACACAGGUGGUCAGGUAGAGAAUACCAAGGCGCUUGAGAGAACUCGGGUGAAGGAACUAGGCAAAAUGGUGCCGUAACUUCGGGAGAAGGCACGCUGAUAUGUAGGUGAAGUCCCUCGCGGAUGGAGCUGAAAUCAGUCGAAGAUACCAGCUGGCUGCAACUGUUUAUUAAAAACACAGCACUGUGCAAACACGAAAGUGGACGUAUACGGUGUGACGCCUGCCCGGUGCCGGAAGGUUAAUUGAUGGGGUCAGCGCAAGCGAAGCUCUUGAUCGAAGCCCCGGUAAACGGCGGCCGUAACUAUAACGGUCCUAAGGUAGCGAAAUUCCUUGUCGGGUAAGUUCCGACCUGCACGAAUGGCGUAAUGAUGGCCAGGCUGUCUCCACCCGAGACUCAGUGAAAUUGAACUCGCUGUGAAGAUGCAGUGUACCCGCGGCAAGACGGAAAGACCCCGUGAACCUUUACUAUAGCU
rnacentral:rRNA from 1 species